CAUGGCGACUUCUAUACUUCCGGUGGCUUCAGGCCUCCAAUGCGCAGCAAGCGAUCGGGGCCAUUCCAGUUAUAGAGUUCAGUGGUAUACAUCUGUCUUUGGUGGCAUCGUGGGUAUGUAUGGUCUCAUAUUAUUAUGGGUGCACAUUUGUGAAGGUGAAAUGUUUACUUGGCAAUGUUUCAUGAUAAGAGACGAUCCGUGUUGACGGCGAGAUGGUAGCUGAUUGCAUUGCCAGCAGAUGGCGGUGUUUCCGUGAGUCAUAGUGAAUGUGUACCGUACCUCUCGCGGGAAGUCAGCUGGGAUAGGUUCCUGCAUACCUCCGUGACCCUAGUGAGGACAAGCGGCAUCAAAAAUGGAUGGAGGACGGACGCACCACAGUGGCUGAAGUUAAAAACAACACAGAGCAUUCCAAGUUUUCUGUUGAUUGGCAGGAGACAGUGCGACUAAUGGAGCGGCUGGGUGCAGUGCAUCAACUCGCCAGUAGAUGGCGCUGUGAUUUGCACUAACUUUGAUUGUGGCAGGAGAUUGUUGGGAGAAAAUUCCCUGCGCAUGGACGUCAUGAUGGGGAGCAGAAUCCAGAAACUCUGCAUUGUAAACAUGUCCUAUUAGUUGCUCUAAUAGACCCUCCAAAAGCAGUGGCGGGGCUAUGGGGUGGCCAUAGGUGGGCGUGGCCACCCCCGGUUACUCUCCUGCCACCGCACUGGCCAGCUGGACAUUUCAGGUAUCAACUUAUUGCGACCCCCAUGUGAGUAGUGGUCUCACCUUGGCCACCCCAGUGAAACAUUUCUGGCUCCGCCACUGGCGCAAUGAUUGACAGGACUCGGCGGCUGACCAAUCAGAGGGGUGCGCGUGCAGGGCAGAGGCUGUUGCAGAGCUACAGAAGGUGAGAUUUCAACAUGUCGUCCAAAAGACUUCACGAAUCAGGAGCGAGCAAGAGCGACAAAAGGCAAAACACGAGGAAAGUCGUGCUUGACUUGAAGGUGGAUCCGUUGUUGAAAUCAAACUUUGUAGCAUGGACACCUAAGCUAACACCAUUACAUAGGAAUCUCCAGCGGCCCUGCUGAACAUUUAUUGAAUGCCUUGCUAACGCCCUCUGCAUUCACCUCUGUUGAAAAGAGUGGCAAAAUGACCAGUCGGUGGUCGUAACCAAUAUACAAUGUAUUGGCUAUAGUUUUAUAUCAAUUUAUGUUGUUAAUAAGGCUUGGACUAUUUGCAAGGAGAUAAAUGUCACCACCUGUUGGUGAAAUGAAUUAACAGUCAUCUUUUGAGGAGACGUUACAGAGAAAUACUGAUUGAAAUGAGUAACUGUGUAAUGGCGCAUUCGUUGACGGAGGGAGUGAACGUAAAGUUUGAAAUAUCGUACUAUUUGAUCCUCAAUUAUGUUUUCUUAGGGCUGUAGUCUAUGCAUAAUAAUACUACUACAACAUACUGUAAAUAAUAUUAUAAUAAUAGAUGGCAAUAGUAGUUUUUGUUAAUAGUAGUAGUAGUACCACCAGACCAGCACUAAAAUUUGUGGACCACAGUAAAAAAAAUCAACCUGAAAUAAAUAAUUUUAAAGUUAAUUUUAAGUUAUUUUGUAUUUUAUAUGUAUUUAUUUCAGGUUGAAUUUUGUAAUUUAAUAUUUAUUUCAGGUUGAUGUUAUAUUAUGUGAGCCAUACAGUUAGCCUACUGUAUCUCUGCUUCCAGUACAUUUGUUAUUAUUAAUAAAGGUUGUCAAGUCAAA